rnacentral:rRNA from 1 species
GAACAGGAUUAGAUACCCUGGUAGUCCAUGCCGUAAACGUUGGGCACUAGGUGUGGGGACCAUUCCACGGUUUCCGCGCCGCAGCUAACGCAUUAAGUGCCCCGCCUGGGGAGUACGGCCGCAAGGCUAAAACUCAAAGGAAUUGACGGGGGCCCGCACAAGCGGCGGAGCAUGCGGAUUAAUUCGAUGCAACGCGAAGAACCUUACCAAGGCUUGACAUGUUCUCGAUCGCCGUAGAGAUACGGUUUCCCCUUUGGGGCGGGAUCACAGGUGGUGCAUGGUUGUCGUCAGCUCGUGUCGUGAGAUGUUGGGUUAAGUCCCGCAACGAGCGCAACCCUCGUUCCAUGUUGCCAGCACGUAAUGGUGGGGACUCAUGGGAGACUGCCGGGGUCAACUCGGAGGAAGGUGGGGACGACGUCAAAUCAUCAUGCCCCUUAUGUCUUGGGCUUCACGCAUGCUACAAUGGCCGGUACAAUGGGUUGCGAUACUGUGAGGUGGAGCUAAUCCCAAAAAGCCGGUCUCAGUUCGGAUUGGGGUCUGCAACUCGACCCCAUGAAGUCGGAGUCGCUAGUAAUCGCAG